rnacentral:rRNA from 1 species
GACGAACGCUGGCGGCGUGCCUAAUACAUGCAAGUCGAACGCUGAAGGAGGAGCUUGCUUCUCUGGAUGAGUUGCGAACGGGUGAGUAACGCGUAUGUAACCUGCCUGGUAGCGGGGGAUAACUAUUGGAAACGAUAGCUAAUACCGCAUAAGAGUAGAUGUUGCAUGACAUUUGCUUAAAAGGUGCAAUUGCAUCACUACCAGAUGGACCUGCGUUGUAUGAGCUAGUUGGUGGGGUAACGGCUCACCAAGGCGACGAUACGUAGUCGACCUGAGAGGGUGAUCGGCAACACUGGAACUGAGACACGGUCCAGACUACUACGGGAGGCAGAAGUAGGGAAUCUUCCGCAAUGGGCGAAAGCCUGACGGAGCAACGCCGCGUGAGUGAUGAAGGUCUUCGGAUCGUAAAACUCUGUUAGUAGGGAAGAACAAAUGUGUAAGUAACUAUGCACGUCGUGACGGUACCUAAUCAGAAAGCCACGGCUAACUACGUG